CACAAAGGAGUUUGCGAUUUAGGAUUUUUUUGUGGUAGUGCGAUUUGUUGAUUCACGGUGAAUUUGAGUUCGAUUUAGGUUUCUAUGGUGGUGGCAUGAAGGUUUUGUGAUAGGUAGUGUCAUAGUGAUGGUGAAAAGAUUCUCAGUUUAGGUUUUCUCAAGAAUAAAUUUGAUAAUUUGAUAAUUAUUUGAUUUACAAUGAAAGUGAUUGAAAUUUAUGAGUUUCUACAAAAAUAUUUGAU
rnacentral:lncRNA from 1 species